CCUACGGGAGGCAGCAGUGAGGAAUAUUGGUCAAUGGACGAGAGUCUGAACCAGCCAAGUAGCGUGAAGGAUGACUGCCCUAUGGGUUGUAAACUUCUUUUAUAAAGGAAUAAAACGAGGCACGUGUGCCUUUUUGCAUGUACUUUAUGAAUAAGGAUCGGCUAACUCCGUGCCAGCAGCCGCGGUAAUACGGAGGAUCCGAGCGUUAUCCGGAUUUAUUGGGGUUAAAGGGAGCGUAGAUGGGUUGUUAAGUCAGUUGUGAAAGUUUGCGGCUCAACCGUAAAAGUGCAAUUGAUACUGGCAGUCUUGAGUACAGGUGAGGUAGGCGGAAUGCGUGGUGUAGCGGUGAAAUGCUUAGAUAUCACGCAGAACCCCGAUUGCGAAGGCAGCUUACCAAACUGUGACUGACAUUGAUGCACGAAAGUGUGGGUAUCAAACAGGAUUAGAUACCCCUGUAGUC
rnacentral:rRNA from 1 species